UCCAGGCGUCGAGUGGCGGACGGGUGAGUAAUGCUUAGGAAUCUGCCCAAUUGUGGGGGACAACUCGAGGAAACUCGAGCUAAUACCGCAUACGCCCUACGGGGGAAAGCAGGGGAUCUUCGGACCUUGCGCUAUUGGAUGAGCCUAAGUCGGGUUAGCUUGUUGGUGGGGUAAAGGCCUACCAAGGCGACGAUCCGUAGCUGGUCUGAGAGGACGAUCAGCCACACUGGGACUGAGACACGGCCCAGACUCC
rnacentral:rRNA from 1 species